UCUGGGAUAAGCCUGGGAAACUGGGUCUAAUACCGGAUAGGAGCGCCUACCGCAUGGUGGGUGUUGGAAAGAUUUAUCGGUUUUGGAUGGACUCGCGGCCUAUCAGCUUGUUGGUGAGGUAAUGGCUCACCAAGGCGACGACGGGUAGCCGGCCUGAGAGGGUGACCGGCCACACUGGGACUGAGACACGGCCCAGACUCCUACGGGAGGCAGCAGUGGGGAAUAUUGCACAAUGGGCGCAAGCCUGAUGCAGCGACGCCGCGUGAGGGAUGACGGCCUUCGGGUUGUAAACCUCUUUCAGUAGGGAAGAAGCGAAAGUGACGGUACCUGCAGAAGAAGCACCGGCUAACUACGUGCCAGCAGCCGCGGUAAUACGUAGGGUGCGAGCGUUAUCCGGAAUUAUUGGGCGUAAAGAGCUCGUAGGCGGUUUGUCGCGUCUGUCGUG
rnacentral:rRNA from 1 species